rnacentral:rRNA from 1 species
GUGGAUUAGAUACCCGGGUAGUCCACGCCCUAAACGAUGUCAACUAGUUGUUGGUAGGGUAAAACCUAUUAGUAACGUAGCUAACGCGUGAAGUUGACCGCCUGGGGAGUACGGCCGCAAGGUUAAAACUCAAAGGAAUUGACGGGGACCCGCACAAGCGGUGGAUGAUGUGGAUUAAUUCGAUGCAACGCGAAAAACCUUACCUACCCUUGACAUGUCCAGAACCCUUGAGAGAUUGAGGGGUGCCUUCGGGAACUGGAACACAGGUGCUGCACGGCCGUCGUCAGCU